AUUCACCAUAACCAGUGAGAUGCAAAAUCCUGGAAGGGGAUCCCGAAGCCAAAGGUGGUUUUGAAGGCCCUCUGCAGUGUUUCUGAACACAGAAGUCUUUUUCCUUGCUGACCACCACUUGCCUGGACACUGUCCAAGGCUGAGAGACAGAUCUGGCAGCCACAGAGGAAUGAGUAGCACCUGUCCUGGCACCCAAACUGUUUCAGCCUCACAGGUCCUUGGCUGCGCUGUGCUACCGCCCAUACUUCAGCCAUUCUGUGUCGACCUACCACAGUCAUCCCACAAUGAAAAAGCCACCCUGCAUGCAUGGCACUGCCUCAAGGAGCAGCUGAGCCCACUGGGCUGGGCAUCCCUGCCACACUGAACCCGUUGUGUGAAUACAGACCAGCAGUCACUCCCAGUGUCCGGUGCCACAGUGUGCCUGGAGCCAGCUGCAUCCACGCUCAUGGAUAAGACAUUGUAAGAAGCAUUGGUGCGAAACUGCAGCAAGGGAUGAAAACCUCCCUGAAUGACUCAUGUGGCUGCAAAACAGUGAGGCAUAACAGCUGUGGAAGAAGAAGGAAAUGAAGGCAUCUCUGUACAGUGUUUGGCUUGUGCAGUAGAAGGGCUUCAUGGAACUCUUUGCUCACAAAAUAGUAGCAGAUGCUAUCCAGGCAACAGUUGGAUGUGGCAACACACCUCGUCACAGAGGAGAAGUUCCUAAUAACCUGGAUCAGGAAACAGGCAGCUCCGACCUUCUCCAUUAUGAAUCCGGCAAGCAACCCAAGAAGAACACCCAGAGGGCGAGGGCAUUAAGUAGCGCUCCAAAAAAGAAAAUGAGGAUAUACAGAGCAAAUUCAAUGAGACGAACAUUGCGAUAGAGUUCUAGAUUUGCGACACUGCAGUUGUUGGAUGCAUUCGUUGUCCUGAUGUGUAGAUGUUGUGUGAUGUUCUGAGACCUGAAAUGGGAAAAGACAUGGUAAGAUUUUCCUCCUACUUCUCAACAGCUCCUAUAAAAAAAAGGUAUUUAAGGAAAUAUUAACUUUGUUAUGAUGUAAAUUUGAGUCUACGAAGAUGGCCUUCUUGGUCAGCCUGUAGCUGAGAUGCAUCCUUUGUCAAACUUUGUUUAUAUUUACUCUGUCUCAGCGUAAAUACUUCAAGGUAGACUUUCAAUAGGACAUGGCAGACAGCCUUUAUUAAACAGGGGCAUCUUGAGUGAGAGGGGCAGUUAGAAGAGCUCCUGUUGGUAGCAGGAGCAUCCUGUCAUAACGUGAAUGCUAAUUCCUGAAGCCAGGCUGUGCAAAUGAGGUCAAGUCACCCUUAGUUUGGUUUUGAGCUAGACAGGGAUUGUAGCAAUCAAAGCUAAAACCCAGCACAACCCAUGAGCAAAAGCUCUUCUACCAGUUCUGCUGACUUGGGAGACGGAUAAGGGUGGUGGAGGACUGCAGGGGCAGAGCACAUGCCACUUGAUAGACAUCCUCAUGUUCUGGCUCUAACUGGGCAGAUUUCUGAGCUUUUGGCUGCUUUGAGAAUCUGGAGUUCCUGCUUCAAGCUGAGGAAAACUGACCUGAAUCUGAGUUCCUGCAUCCCAAAGGCAUGCUUGACAACCCUACAGGAGUGAGUGAGGAACUUCCCCUCUUCAGAAGGGGAAAGUGCGGGGAGGGUGGAAAGAUUAACCUGAUUUAACCCCAUCGAUUGCAUGAAAGGGUAUGAGCCUGCAGAUGUAAAGCAGGAAGACACACGUGAAAGAGGAAACACUGGUGCAAAACAAGGAAUGUGCCAUUAAGGACUGCAUUAGAUGGUUCCUGCUCAAGGCAAGUAUCCUGCCACCCUGGGAAAUCUGUGAGGUGUAAAUAGUAGGUACUGAGCCCCUGUCACACUGUCUUUCGCAAGAGUAUUAGUUAGAUAAAGAGUGUGAGUUUCUAGGCUGAUAAAAAUCAGCUUUCAUCAGACCCUAUCUUGUGUGACGUGCACAUGGACCAAUUCUCUGAACUGGUGAUUCUGUGUAUAUGACACUGCAUUUCUGCAUGCAUCCAAAAGCACCUUGGAAAGCGUUUAACCUUUUCAUUUCAAAUAAGCUAUUUACCACUUUAACAGGAUAGUGAAAUGGUGAUGGAGCUAGUGAAAUCCUACAGCUUUCAGAGAUGUAGCAAGGGAUAUCAUAACUGAAUACAUCUGGAUAAGCAGUUAUUUUCCUCUGCAAGCAAUGCAGGCCUCAUGGUCAGCUGGCGAGGGCACUGCCUGCAAAAUCAGACUUCAGUUCUGAAGUAAGUGAUAAACAUACAAAUAACUCAAUUGCUGGGGAGAUAUGCAAGUGUCUUAGGCACUAGUAGACAUCAGUGCAACUCCUGCACAGAGCUAUCUCACAGUUCUUGUGUGCUCAGGUCCAGGUUUCCCAGCAGCUUGCCAGUUGCUGCCUGCCAUGGGAGGAAGCUGACAUCUGUCACCUGGGGAAAACCUCUCUGAACUGCUGUUAUAGCAGCAUGGAUACACCUUACAGCAAGGGCUGAAGGUGCUGUAUCAUUGUGCUCACUAACUGCAUGGGACAGAUGUCUUUGCUGGCACAGCUGAUGCUCAGGUUGCUUUUUGCUGGCCCUGGUCUGCAAAACCAGCAGAGGCCUCUAUGCUGAAGUGCAGCACAAAGUACAGGCAAACCAUGCUCUGCAGUGUGAAAGGGCUGACACCGCCUUGGGACCCAAGGAUAUGGCCCAAUCACUGAUCCCAGCAUCUGCCUUGCCAUGGUCGAGCUCAGGACAUACAAGGGCUCCAGGCCACGAGGCAGCCCAGAGACUCGGGGGAGAAGGGAGGAAACGAGCAGAGGGUUUUAAACCAGACCACAUCGCAUAGAUAUAGGAUAACUGAACACGAACCAUCAUUAAAGAGAUGCCGUUUGAUAAGUUAGCAUAUCCUGUGGCUGCUGGAAAUGCUUAAUAUGGGGUAGAUGAGAUGAUUGCAGCAUCAGAGAUGGUAAUCAGCAACUUACAGCUUUAAGAAACGGAUGGAGAUGACUAAACAGCAUCUUGCUGCAGCUGGAGGAACAUGAACAGGCUGGAACUCAGUGGACAUGGUCACCAAUACUGUGGAGUGUGU